UCCUCCAUAUCUUAGUAUAUAUAAUUUGAUCUAAUUGUAGCCCUUAAAGAAGAAAGUUUAAAUAAAAAAUCAUUUUUCUCCCUUUCCCUCUCUUUCAUAUUUACCUUUUCAUGUUUCUCUUGAUCUUUGUGUUUGGAUAUCAAACUUUCCUCUUAGGUCUGGUCCUUUCUUUUCAAAUACUUGGAAAUCUUCUAUUUUUUUGAAUGCCCAUACUUUCCCCUGGAAGUAUAAAGGCAGUUUUGAUGGAUAGGUGAUUCUAAAACCCAGUUCUCUUACCUUUCUGAAUAUUGUGUUCCAGACCUUGUGGUCCUUUAGUGUGGACGCUGCCAGGUUUUGUCUGAUCCUGAUUGGUGCUCCUUGGUAUCUGAAUUUCCUCUUUUGGGCUUCUUGUAGAAUUUUAUCCUUAGCUUGAAUGCUCUAUAAUUUGUCAAUUACAUUUCUGGGAGUUGUUUUUUUGGGGAUUUAGUGCAGAGGGUGUUCUAUGGACUCUUUCAAUGUCUAUUUUGCCCCAUUGUUCAAGAACAUCAGGAUAGUUUUCUUGGAUGAUCUCUUGUAGUAUGAUGUCAAGAUUUCUGUUUAUUUCUUGCUUUUCAGGUAGACCAAUGAUUCUCAAAUUGUCUCUCCUUCUUCUGUUUUCCUGAUCUGUCACCUUAUCAGUGAAAUAUUUUAUAUUUUCUUCUAUUUUGUCAGUCUUUUGAUUUUGCUUUAUUAAUUCUUGCUGUUUUGCAAGAUCAUUGGUUUCUAGUUGUUCAAUUCUGGUCCUUAAGACCUGAUUUUCUGCUUUAACCUUUUGGUAUUCAGCUACGAUUUCUUCAUUAUUUUUAAACAUUUUCCAUUUCUUUUGCCAGAAGGCUUCCAUCUUUUUGAUAAGCUCCAAUAGAAAUUCUUUCAGGGAUUGUGGACAUUUUUUUUAGGUUUUGCCUUUGUUUGAAUUUCUUCCAGUAUUUCUUCUGUAGCUUGGGUUUUUCCUCCUUAAAAAUUCUCGAGGUUCACAGUCUUUUUUUUUGUUUGUUUGUUUGUUUUGUCUUGUUUUUGGAAGGAUGUUUAGGCUCCUGUGCAUAGUUAGCCAUCUCCAUGUAUGUUUUUCCUUCCCUUUUUAGUCAAAAAUCUGAGUGAUCUGGGCAGGCUCUGUGUAUGGAGUUAAGGAGCAAGGGUUUUGCCUGAGGCAAGCUCUCUAAUCUCCACAGUUCUUUGCAGCUCUUCUCUGUGCUACCUUCCCAGGGGUGUCCAAGGUUUGCGCUCCCCUGCCGGCCUGGGUUUCCUGUCUAGCUGCUUUCAGGGGUAGGUCUCCUGCGGUCCUAGUCAGCUCCCAAGGACCUAGAGGAGCCCUUUGCUCACUCUAGCAGUGCCCCUCACUCGCUCGCUGGUUCUGGCCUGAGCUGACUCUGGUUCUGGCUCUGUAGGUGGGGUUGGGGAGGGUGGAUUGGCUCCCAUUUGGUUGGAAGAUUUUUCACCCUCUUAUAGUUUGGAAAUGCCCCAAUCCAAUGUACUUUCAAUGCUGCACCCUACUGUAUAGUUUCUCCAUUCUUCUGAAAAUGAUUUUUAAGAUCUGUUGAGCUGGUCUUUGUCGGUGUGUGCUGAGGAGAGGAAGUGUCCCACGUCUAGACUGCCUCCAUGCUUACCUGGAAUUCCAGAAGAGGAGCUGAAGUUUUAUCAAAUAAAGUGGCAGAAAGUCCAAUACUUGCUUCAGUUUUCCUCUCCACAUAUUGAAAAGCAAAACAAACUUCAGAAGAGGGACAGCAUAAUAAAAGAGAAAGGAGAAUAAACAGAAGAAAACACAAUUGAGGAUUUGCUGAAGUAUAGCUGACUGGCACUGGUUCUUCAGCUGGAUGAAUCUCAGAUGGAUGGAGAGUGCAGGGGAUGUGAAAGCUGCCAAGGCCUCCUCAAGUGUUUCCAGAUAAUGAAGAUCAUUCUCUUACAGGCUUGUAGAGUUUCAGACUAUGUGCCAUCAAUGUACACAUGAAUACAAGCUUCUAGAAUCUGUGGGGCGGAGGAUAAAUUUUUGGAAACAAUGCAGUUUGAGGCUAUCUUACUCAGAGAAAGAAGAAAAAAAAAUUUCCCUUCUUAAGUAACUUCUUAAUAAGACUUUAACAAUUUUGUAUCAUCUUUGAGGUUUUCAGAGCACUCAUUGACAAGAGUGUAUAUGUAGGAGAUUAUGAACAAAUUUUUGGAAUUUAAGAUUGGUCUUUUGUGCCCAUUGACUUUGACAUACACCCUAUCCCCUAGGCAGCCCUUUCAGUAGCCUAUAACUUCAAUUCUUCAGAAACUGUGAUAUUUGUUAUGUCAACCAUAUAUCAUGCCCAGAAGAAUUAUGAUCCUAAAAGAAAAAAUAAGUUUCUAUGCCUUGGUGUAGCUUGGGAUCACUGCAAGUGUUGCCUACUUUCUCAAAUGAAUUCCAAUAUAUUCUACUUGUCCUGAGUAAUUGUAAGUUCAGUGCAUUUUUAUGUGCAAUAUUUAUUCUAUAUAUUUGUGUAUUUCUCUACAGAUGUCUACCAACUACAUAUCAAAAGGCACUUUUCAUCUACUUGUCUUUUCCUCUGUUGAUAGUUUAUCCUUCACAUAUUUUCCAAAAUAAUAUUCUUAAUAAUAAGCAUAAUUACAACACUUAACUUGUGUACACAAAAAUCUUUCAUGGAUCCCUUUUAUCCCCUAGGACAAACUAUAACCUUAUUUGUCUGGCAUUUAAAUUCUCCAAAAUCUGACUCCAACCUACCUUAUUCAACAUUACUUUUCUUAACACUUUUUAUGUUCUAACUGGACACUAUCUUCUAACUCCUUACAUUUAUUUUGAUCACCCCUCAUGUCUAGAAUGCAUUCCCUCCUCAGCUUUAUUCAAAUGAUUUUAUUUCCUUAACAAAACCAACUUAACUUAAAAAGAACUCUUUUUCAUAUUUCCUUGGAAUUCUAGAUGAAUUUGUCCACAAACUGAAUUUAUCUUUUAGGCUUUGAUUAUACAUGUAUUGGAGUUAUUUUUUUUUCCUGGAUUGUCUUGGGGGAUCCUGUGGCCAUUUAAAAAUCUUGCCAGAAAAUAGACUGUCCAAUUAUAAUCUGCAAUAAUAGAAAAAUGCUAAUUUUCUCUAGUUGAUUCCUGAAAACCCCAAGGUACCCAAGAAUCAUAGUCCCAGAUAGAGGAUCUCUCCAAUGAGCCCAUGAAAAUAUAAAAGGCUUUAAAAUUUAUCCUAGAUAAAUUUUUCAUAGUGUUUCAUAUCCCCUCUGUUCUUACUCCUCUAAUGGAGCACUUGUGUUAAUAAUAGAUUAGAAUCCCAAGAGGGUAGUUAAGUACUGGCCCUUAUCAGGACUCUAGAGUAACAUUGAAGGACUAAAGUUUCUAGCAAUAUUAAUUCUUAUCAAUGAAACCUAUUAAGAGAUGCUUUGCUUUCUAUCAAUUGCAUGAACUGUUGUUGGCCCUCAGAGGUGAUUAUGUAGCUUAACCAUCUUUUCAAUGAUAGUUGGUAGUUUGAUGCUAUGUUGUAAAAAUUCAGAUGUCAUUUUAAUUGCAACUGAUUUUGCAUAUAUCUGCAAAAUUGUAAAUCCUGGGGAGAAACAUAACAGUGAUUCAAGCAAAGCUUUGAUUAGCUUCUUUGUGAGUGAGGUUAAGUCAUUAGAGACUGUUGGAGUUUAUUUCUUCACAGCUUGGGAAGAAAUGAAUCUAUAGCAGCACUGGAAUUGAAGAGUGGAUUGUUUUUUUCUUCUGCAACAACAGUUUUAAAUCUUCUUGAAGAGAGAGGUGCAGAGAGAUGACUAGAGGGAGUGAGUGGUGGUACCAGCAGUUGCAGCAACAGCUGUAGUAUCAUCAAGGAGAAGUAGUAGUAGAAAAUAUAAUACAGAAAAUUUUCCAGUAGACUGACUCUAGAUAUUUCAAUAACUAGGGUAUUUUCCUUUCCUUAUCUCUUCUUAACUUAUUGAGAUAGUCUAGCACAGAAUGACUGAGUUAUGCUCCCUCUGAGAAACUGUUGAAACAAUGGUGAUCUUACUCCACUCAUUUAUUUUUCUGUUUUACUGACAAAAAAAGCAAGCAGUAUAGUUCAUUUUAAAGCAUUUUUCUACUAUUUUAAAUUUUGCUUACUCAUUUUUUUUUGUAUUUUUAAAUGGUGGUUUUCUAGAAAAAGGUAAGAUAAUUUUAAUUGCAUCCUGAGAUUUGACCUUUGAACAACUGACACGAAAUUCAUUUGGCUGGGGAAAUCUUUUCCUCCUGGUAAUAAAAAGAAUCACCUGAUA